GAGACAGGUGUCGGUGGCUCAAGGUCAGUUCAUUCAGUCGUCGUUUUCUACGUGUUUAACCGGCUGGGAAGACAGGUGGAGUUUUGUGCUAAAUAUCGUACCGUGACCUGUAAAAUUGAUAUGAAACACCUAGCGGAACACUGGGCCACAUACCUAAUCACAUAAGGACUCUUAUAGAUUUGAUUCACUUUGCUAUUCUAUACUAAUUUUAGUUUAGAAAUAGGAAAAGUUUAUUUGGAGCAUAAAACAUAGUAAAGCAUAAUUUCAUUUAUUUAGGACCAUAUUUCGUGACCUGACUAAAAGAAAAUUAAUUAGUAAUGUUCUUGUAUCUGUGUAAAAGUAAGAAAUUAAUCUACUAACGCCAUCUACUGUUGAAUAGAGCACAUUUGGUUUGUUCAUGAAAUUAGUAAGUUCUCCGACGGAGUACUAAUUCCAAGGGUUUGUCCAGUUAGUCCUAAAAGUAUGAAAUUGGAAACGUGCACAUGAGAGAGAGAUAUAUAGUCUGUUUGCGGUAGUGGACUAAACGUUAGGAAACUUGGAAAUAAACUGCAGCUUUUGAAUUCCAAAUUUACUAUUUUUCACAAUAUAAAUACAAAAAUACAUACAUCAUGACAUAUACCUAUGUAAUUAUUUUAAUAAAUCACUAAACCAUACAGUUUUCAGGUUUUAAUUUUUGCGGAUAUUAAGAAAAUAACUAUAUAAGGGGCUAUGCAUUAUCGCGAUACAGUUUGCCGUAUUUGGCGGAUCAGUAUACAGUGGUGGUUUUGUAUUGCGAUAAAUAAAAGCUCUAUCAUACAAAUGUGUUCAUUUAUCCGCGUCGGCAUGUGAGUUCGGUAAUGAGUAGCCGGUAUUGUCAGCGAUCGUGACGCCGAGUCUACGGGACUCAUCGUGGCACCAGACAUUUACAUGCACCGGCAUAACGCAUACAUGCGCGAAACGUGGCAAGAUCGACCCGAUAGCUCUUUCCCCCUUUGUGCGGACAUUAGUCAACGGAUCAACGCAACUGAUGUGCAAACGUCAAAGCAAGUAAAACAAUGGAACGGCAACGCGCUGCGUCGACGCAACGAAGAACGACGGAGCAAUAGGACCUGCAAAUGCAUUCUGUCUGCACCAGGGAGUUCAGAAUGUAUAUCCACUACAUGGUGUUUUAAUAAAUAUUAUGUACUCAUGGUCGACUCUCAGACACUCCAUUCCCAUAAAAAUAGAGGAGAAAUAUACUAGUGAAAAUAUAUAAACAACAAUUGAUUGAUAUUUCCAGGAUGUUAAACUUACACAACUCAAGCUAUAGACAUAUAUCAUAAAACUGAAACUAAUUUUCUGGGCAGUUGUAACUUCAGAGGGUAACUAUCAAAAUGACUAUCGAUUCCACAUUAUAAAUAGAAGAUGUCAUUUAAUAAAGUAUUAAUAAAGUAGACUUUAGAUUAGAACUAUC